AAACUUUACAUACAUGUUACGUUUGCACCCAAACUAAAAAACAUGUUUAAGUACGUCCCAAACUUCAGUUAUAGUCAACAAAAGACACUUUAAUUUAACCGGUCAAAAAUGACCGGCUAAGCCUGUAAUGUUUAUUACAAAUGGAUAUUUUUGGUAGAUUAUAUUUAUGUCAAAUGGCAUCCUCUGUUUUUUCAACUCAAUCAUCUGCCUCUACUUCUCACCCUCCACCCUCUGAUGUAUCUCCCCAAACCAAGGCAUGUUGUAUCAGUUUUAAUUCAUUUCCAACCCAAAAACCCUCAGUCGAAUAAUUCUCCUUCAACUCUCCUAUUCCCACUCUAAUUCAUCUAUUCCAAACAACAACAAAGAAGGAAUCAAGCACAACCCGACCUCUCCAUCUCUUACUUGGAUUCCAACAACAAAGUUUUAAAGCAAGGCAACCAUCGACGUUCAUUGGGGGUUCAAUCAAUUGGCCUGAAUCAUCAUCUUUUUCAUUGGGUGUUAUUCUAAACAUAGAAUCCAAGUAAGUUUUGACAAGUUAUAGUUUUUAUACAUGGAAUUUCAUGUAAUGGAUUGAAUUAGCAAUCAAGUAUUGGGGAGUUUGGGAUAAUUGAAUUGGUUGCCCAAUUGAGUUUAUGUUGGCUCAAUUGGGGGUUGGUUGUUAUAAUUUUGUGUUCAAAUUGGAUCGGGAUGUGAUUGUGGAUAAAAAGCUUCAAGCUUUGGACUAAAACAAGUUUAGGGGAGUCUCACAUAAAGGACUUUUCAGCUGUGCACACCAACUACUUGACAAAUUGCCUCAAAGAAGUUUUAAACCUAUUUUUCUAUCUGUUUCUGGAUUUGGGGCAAGCGUUUGAUGGAAGGUGUGCUGCUACUGCUUUCAUGGUCAAAAAUCAAGAAUAAUUGGAUUUAUUUUUAUCACAGAAGAAGGCAACACUACAUUCAGGGAAUCAAUUUCUAACCUCAAAGAAGUAUAUAUGCUCAAGAAGCUAUUCACCGGUAACAAAGAAAAGCUGCAAAAGAUUUUGAACGACUUCAUACAGACAAUUGAUCAUAGUCUUCACUGCUUGCUACUAUGUUUUAUGCAUAAAUAUCCAAACAAAGUAGAUCAAAUCAUUGUCCCAAAAAUCACUGUUGAGUGUUAAACAUUUCAUUAAACUCCAAUAAUUUCAGUCACGAAUCCGACACUAAAGACUUGACAACUUCUGGAUAAGUAAUGAGGACUUUUAUACCUGUAGCAGCUCAGCUGGUAUCAAGAUGUGUUAACUAAAUUAUGCAACUCAAAAUUAACAAGAAAAAUAUAUACUUUCUUUCCAAUUUCCAUUAAACCGACACAAUUUUUUUUAUAUCAAUUCCUAUAACCUAAAAUCGUUUAAACUUCUACAACCUAUCAGAAAUCUCCUAUUCAAAACAAUGAAACCAAAUGAUCAAUUUGCCUAAAUUAG
rnacentral:lncRNA from 1 species